rnacentral:rRNA from 1 species
UAACUCCUACGGGGGGCAGCAGUAGGGAAUCUUCCACAAUGGGCGAAAGCCUGAUGGAGCAACGCCGCGUGGGUGAAGAAGGUCUUCGGAUCGUAAAACCCUGUUGUUAGAGAAGAAAGUGCGUGAGAGUAACUGUUCACAUUUCGACGGUAUCUAACCAGAAAGCCACGGCUAACUACGUGCCAGCGGCCGCGGUAAUACGUAGGUGGCAAGCGUUAUCCGGAUUUAUUGGGCGUAAAGGGAGCGCAGGCGGUCUUUUAAGUCUGAUGUGAAAGCCUUCGGCUUAACCGGCGUAGUGCAUUGGA